rnacentral:lncRNA from 1 species
UGGUGACAAACCAUCUAAGGGUAAUGAAAAGGGAGCACCUCAUGAACCUAAACCUCCUCAUAGACACUUAUUGAGUGUGGAAGUUGAGGGCACACAUAAACCUCCACAACACUCAGGUGGUAAACCUCCACGACAUUCAGGGGGUAAACCUCCACAUGUUGAAGGAUUCCCUGGUGACAAACCAUCCAAGGGUAAGGGAAAGGGGGCACCUCAUGAACCCAAACCUCCUCACAGACACCUAUUGAGUGUGGAAGUUGAGGGCACACAUAAACCUCCACAACAAUCAGGUGGUAAACCUCCACGACAUUCAGGGGGUAAACCUCCACAUGUUGAAGGAUUCCCUGGUGACAAACCAUCCAAGGGUAAGGGAAAGGGAGCACCUCAUGAACCCAAACCUCCUCAUAGACACCUAUUGAAUGUCGAAGUUGAGGACACACAUAAGCCUCCACAACACUCAGGGGGUAAACCUCCACAUGUUGAAGGAUUCCCCGACGGUAAGCCACCCAUGAAACCAUUCCCCGGUGACAAACCAUCCAAGGGUAAGGGAAAGGGAGUACCUCAUGAACCUAAACCUCCUCAUAGACACCUCUUAAGUGAGCCACACAAAUAUGUGAUACCACCCAAAGGUAAGGGAGAGAAGCCUCCCCAUGAGCAGAAACCACACCAUGGACACCACCCAGGGCACCAUCUGGGAAUAGAAAAUUAAAGCAUAAAUCAUCCUAAGGUUCCCAUCAACCUACAGUUAGAAGAUCAUCAUCAGCGUGUAUGGUAGGACUAUUUUACUAUAGGAAUAACAGUUGAUGUUGAUUUAUCCUUUUAUUAGUUGUGUAGCUAUCUAGUUACGUAUAUUUUGUUCCUGGCUUGGAGGUUGUGCCGUGCCUACCUCAUGACUAUGUUGUUUUAGAAAUUCCAGCCUCAUCUAUGGUUCGACAUUUUAUGAUAUGAACUCUAUAUAUUAACUAGUUUGGGAUCUUUUGCUUUCUAAGUUUAUUUCACCUAUUGAACUAUCUAAC